GAUGAACGCUAGCGGGAGGCCUAACACAUGCAAGCCGAGCGGUAUUGUUUCUUCGGAAAUGAGAGAGCGGCGUACGGGUGCGUAACACGUGUGCAACCUGCCUUUAUCUGGGGGAUAGCCUUUCGAAAGGAAGAUUAAUACUCCAUAAUAUAUUGAACGGCAUCGUUUAAUAUUGAAAGCUCCGGCGGAUAGAGAUGGGCACGCGCAAGAUUAGCUAGUUGGUGAGGUAACGGCUCACCAAGGCGAUGAUCUUUAGGGGGCCUGAGAGGGUGAUCCCCCACACUGGUACUGAGACCCGGACCAGACUCCUACGGGAGGCAGCAGUGAGGAAUAUUGGUCAAUGGGUGCAAGCCUGAACCAGCCAUCCCGCGUGAAGGACGACCGCCCUAUGGGUUGUAAACUUCUUUUGUAUAGGGAUAAACCUACCCUCGUGAGGGUAGCUGAAGGUACUAUACGAAUAAGCACCGGCUAACUCCGUGCCAGCAGCCGCCGUAACAC
rnacentral:rRNA from 1 species